rnacentral:rRNA from 1 species
UACAGAGGGUGCGAGCGUUAAUCGGAAUUACUGGGCGUAAAGCGCGUGUAGGUGGCAAGGCAAGUCGGGUGUGAAAGCCCUGGGCUCAACCCAGGAAGUGCACUCGAUACUGCCUCGCUAGAGUCCCGGAGAGGUUGGUGGAACUCUCGGUGUAGAGGUGAAAUUCGUAGAUAUCGAGAAGAACACCGGUGGCGAAGGCGGCCAACUGGACGGUGACUGACACUGAGACGCGAAAGCGUGGGGAGCAAACAGG